UACGUAGGGGGCUAGCGUUGUCCGGAAUCAUUGGGCGUAAAGCGCGUGUAGGCGGUCCGGUAAGUCCGCUGUGAAAGUCGGGGGCUCAACCCUCGGAUGCCGGUGGAUACUGUCGGGCUUGAGUACGGAAGAGGCGAAUGGAAUUCCUGGUGUAGCGGUGAAAUGCGCAGAUAUCAGGAGGAACACCAAUUGCGAAGGCAGCUCGCUGGGACGUUACUGACGCUGAGACGCGAAAGCGUGGGGAGCAAACAGG
rnacentral:rRNA from 1 species